GAUGAAGAACGUAGCGAAAUGCGAUAAGUAAUGUGAAUUGCAGAAUUCAGUGAAUCAUCGAAUCUUUGAACGCACAUUGCGCCCCCUGGUAUUCUGGGGGGCAUGCCUGUCCGAGCGUCAUUACAACCCUCAAGCUCAGCUUGGUGUUGGGCCCCGCCGCCCCGGCGGGCCCUAAAGUCAGUGGCGGUGCCGUCCGGCUCCGAGCGUAGUAAUUCUUCUCGCUCUGGAGGUCCGGUCGUGUGCUCGCCAGCAACCCCCAAUUUUUUUCAGGUUGACCUCGGAUCAGGUAGGGAUACCCGCUGAACUUAAGCAUAUCAAUAAGCGGAGGA
rnacentral:misc_RNA from 1 species